GACGAGGGGUCCAAGCGUUGUUCGGAAUCAUUGGGCGUAAAGCGGGUGUAGGCGGCUCUAUAAGUCAGGAGUGAAAGCCCCAAGCUUAACUUGGGAAGUGCUUUUGAUACUGCAGAGCUUGAAUGUGGGAGAGGGUAGUGGAAUUCCAGGUGUAGUGGUGAAAUGCGUAGAGAUCCGGAGGAACACCGAAGGCGAAGGCAGUGUCCUGGCGAGUGACUGACGCUGAGGUGCGAAAGCCAGGGGAGCGAACGGG
rnacentral:rRNA from 1 species